GGUGAACCUGCCGCUGGAUCAUUAC
rnacentral:rRNA from 1 species